ensembl:lncRNA
GGGAGGCUGAGACCCAGAGCUCACGAUGUGCCUUUGGCGGAGGCCGUGGGGACACCACCACCCAACGCCUCCGGUCUGGGGCCGUCUCUCACCCCAGGUGCCGGUGGGGAAGGCCAGUGCUGGGGAUGCUGCAGACUGCACACAGGGUAAGCUCCGCCAAGCCCCGCUGAGCCCUGAGCAGCACGCAGAGCAGUGACUGGAGCUGCCUUUUUCCAGCUGUCAUCAAAGAAACGGAGAAGAAGGUGGAAUUCGCAGUUGCCGAAGAGCCAGUCCCCGCGUCGGCAUCGGUGUUUGAGAGCGUGGGGAGCAGCGUGCUGUCCUGGAUCUCCCAGGGGCUGGAGAAGGUGGUCCCACAGCCGGCCCCGGCCCUGGGGUCACUGCAGGCGCUCGGGAAGAGCUUCGAGACCAGCGUCGACGUCCCCGACCAGGUGGGCCGUGGGCAUGUCCCCACAUGCUGGCUUCUGGGUUCUUUUAGAAGAUCCACGAACCAGGGGGAGCUCCCCCUGCCCCACAUGGCUUUCUGCCUUCACCCACCUCUGGGAAAAGGGCGGAUUUCCCCCCCCCCACCUCCCAUGGGUAACGCUUUCUGCCUUUCCAGACUGAGGUGCAGGUCCUUAAGGAUGAGGAUGAGGAUGCUCUUGGUAAGGGGAGCAGUGAGCCCACGGCUUGAGGUUCCCUCCUGGUUGCCAGCCCCUGGACACCCAAUCCUGCUCUCCCUGCAGAGAUCACCCCCUUUGACCCCGAGGAGGACGAGCAGGAUGGCUGCGAGCUGGAGGAUAGCUUGGGCACGAGCACAGAGACCUGGUGGGUUCCCAGUGUGCAGCAUCCCAUCAGCAGGAGGAGGGGUGGCAUAGGGUGGAGAGAUGUGGGGUACAGGGCAUGGGAUGGAGGGAUGCGGGAUAUGAAAUGAGCAGACAGGGGAUGUGAGAUGCAGGAUGUAGGAUAUGAGUUUGGGGGUGAACAGACGUGGGAUGUGGGAUGCAGGAUUCAGGAUAUGGGAUUUGGGGUGGGCAGACGUGUGAUGUGGGAUGCAGGAUGCAGGAUGUGGGAUGGAGGGACGUGGGUUGUGGGAUUUGGGAUGGACGGAUGUGGGAUGCAGGAUGAGGGAUAUGGAAUGAUGUGGAAUGUGGGAUACAGGAUUUAGGAUGGAGGGAUGUGGGAUAAGGGAUUGUAGGGUGAGGGAUUUGGGAUAAGGGAUUGUGAGAUGAAGGAUGUGAGAUGUAGGAUGCAGGAUUUGAGAUUGACUGACACAGAACAUGGGAUGGAGUGAUGUGGGAUGGACAGGCACGGGAUGGAGGGAUGUGGGAUGGAGGGAUGCAGGUUGGGAGAUAUGGGAUAGGCGAUGUGGGAAUGUGGGAUAUAGGAUGGAGGGAUGCAGGUUGGGAGAUUUGGGAUGGAGGGAUGCAGGAUAUGGGAUGCAGGAUGCAGGGUAUGGGAUGCAGGAUGCAGGGUGAGCUCUGACCACACCUGCUCUCCCUGCAGGGCAGGAGCACGCAUGCUGAGCUGGCUGGUGCAGGGCUUCGAGAGGAUGGUGCCGCAGCCAGAGGUGCCGAAAAGGCCCGAGGUGAGCAAGGCUGUGGGUGCUGUCAUGGCAUCGUGGUGCUGCAGCUCCCCUCUCCCAAAGCAAUGAGGGAUUUCCCCAGCCCUUCCCUGCCCGCUCCAAAACUCGAGCAGCCCAUUGGGGCCAGACGUGGUCUUGAGAGAAGAGGGAGGGGAGGGCAGAUGCAACACGCAGAGCGCAUUGGGGCAGCAGCAGCACAUGGUCGCAUCCAUCCCUCUGUCUGCAGCCGGAGCUGAAGGAGGAGCAGUGCAAUACUGCAGCGGGAGGUGAGCACUUUGCAGGGGUGUGCAGUG